rnacentral:rRNA from 1 species
CCACCUCUUCCCAUUCCGAACAGAGAAGUUAAGCUUCGUCACGCCGAUGGUACUGCAUAUUGUGGGAGAGUAGGUAGCCGCCGUUU